UACAGAGGUCUCAAGCGUUGUUCGGAUUCAUUGGGCGUAAAGGGUGCGUAGGCGGCGCGGUAAGUCGGGUGUGAAAUCUUGGAGCUUAACUCCGAAACUUGCAUUCGAUACUGCCGUGCUUGAGGACUGGAGAGGAGACUGGAAUUUACGGUGUAGCGGUGAAAUGCGUAGAUAUCGUAAGGAAGACCAGUGGCGAAGGCGGGUCUCGUGGACAGUUCCUGACGCUGAGGCACGAAGGCCAGGGGAGCAAACGGG
rnacentral:rRNA from 1 species